UUGAUUUUGUGUCAAUGCGUGAUUUCUCUGUCUCUCUCUCUCAUGAUCUCCCAACUCUCUCUCUCUCUCGAUCGCUCUCGAUCUCGCAUUCUCUCUCUGUGUUCUCUCAAUCGAUCAUUCUUUCAAUUAAUCAAUCAAUCCAUCGAAUGGUGGAGGAGAGUAUCAAAUACGUGAUUCUGAUCGUUGACAUCUCCACUCGAUUUCAGAUGGUAGCAAAGAUAAGCACAUUUUUGUGGAAGAUUAGUGGUUCUUUCAAUUCUCUCUGUGCUGCUCAAUCCAUUUUUGUGGGUGUGGACUAUUAUUGGUACCCUGUGGUUCACUAGAGCAAGAAAUUGUUUGCCUGAAGAAGGUCAGAAAUGGGGUUUGUUUAUUUGCUUGCUUUUUAGCUACGAUGGACUCCUUUGUAUUGCCUGCAUGUCUAUAAGAGGGUGGUUAAAACGGAGACGAGCACACUUACUACGGGCUCAACAGGGGAUUCCUGUUUCAAAAUAUGGGGUGUUGGUUGACAUGAUUCAUGUAUCGGAUUGGGCAUUUGAAGCUGCUGGCCAAGAAAUGAGAGGCAUGGGCCAAGAUGCAGCAUACCAGCCCGGACUAUACUUGACAGCAACUCAUGUAUCAAUUAAGUAAUUACUGUAGCUAGAAUUGAUGCACAUACAAUUUUCAGGGAAUUGGCUCUCUUAGAAUUUGACCUGUAACAAGACACCCACAUAAUAGUAGUAACUUUAGGUUGACAAUGGUAAUUUGACUGCCUUUGUUGGUGAAGGAGUACCGAGGCCGGAAGUGCGCAAUAAGCCAGCAGGAGCUGCCACAUUAGGCAGAGCACCUUGCAAGGAUGCCAUGGAAGGAAACUACAUUACAAAAAACACACCACGUAGAAUUAAAAUCUUCCUCUGAAAAAAUAAAAAUAGAAAAGAACUUGUGAACUGUGGAAGAUUCUUUAAAAAAAACAACAAAUUAAAAAAAAUAAUAAAUAAAUAAAAAGAGAGAAUCAGCACAAGAUUCAACUAAUUGAAUCAAUGCACAAGGUGUCAUUCUGACCAAUGAUACAUUUCAAAAGAGAAGACUCAAUCGCUAUAUUUAUACUCAAUGGUGCAUCAUGUGUAAAAGGGGUGAGGAAUCUUUGAAUCAUCUUUUCUUACACUGCCCUGUAGCUAUGAGGUUAUGGCAUCAACUCUUUCUUUUGGUUAAUUGACCAUGAGUGGCUCCAGCAGCAAGUAUCCGCAUGCUUUUAACUGAUUUUCAAGUUUUUGGGGGCAAGAAAAGGGCAAAAGUGUUGUGGCUUUGUGUGGUAUUUGCUAUCUUUUGGGUCAUUUGGUUGGAAAGGAAUGCAAGGACUUUUUAAGUGAAAUUUGGGGACUUGGAUUCUAUGUGGGAUAGAGUUCGCAUUUUGACAUCAUUUUAGGCUUCUGAAUCCCUCCGUUCAAAGGGGUCCAGCUCUUUUUGAUUACUAGUGAAUGGGUGUCUGCGUGAUUUAUAGUUCUUGUUUUGUUUUUGUUUUGCUCAUAGAUACUUGUUUGAUUGUAAAGCACUUCUUGUCCUCUUUUGUAUUUUUUCCCCUAUUUUCUUAAUAAAUUUCUUUAAUUAAGAGUAGACUAAAA